rnacentral:rRNA from 1 species
AGACAUGCAAGUCGAGCGGAUGACGGGAGCUUGCUCCUUGAUUCAGCGGCGGACGGGUGAGUAAUGCCUAGGAAUCUGCCUGGUAGUGGGGGACAACGUUUCGAAAGGAACGCUAAUACCGCAUACGUCCUACGGGAGAAAGCAGGGGACCUUCGGGCCUUGCGCUAUCAGAUGAGCCUAGGUCGGAUUAGCUAGUUGGUGGGGUAAUGGCUCACCAAGGCGACGAUCCGUAACUGGUCUGAGAGGAUGAUCAGUCACACUGGAACUGAGACACGGUCCAGACUCCUACGGGAGGCAGCAGUGGGGAAUAUUGGACAAUGGGCGAAAGCCUGAUCCAGCCAUGCCGCGUGUGUGAAGAAGGUCUUCGGAUUGUAAAGCACUUUAAGUUGGGAGGAAGGGCAGUAAGUUAAUACCUUGCUGUUUUGACGUUACCGACAGAAUAAGCACCGGCUAACUCUGUGCCAGCAGCCGCGGUAAUACAGAGGGUGCAAGCGUUAAUCGGAAUUACUGGGCGUAAAGCGCGCGUAGGUGGUUUGUUAAGUUGGAUGUGAAAGCCCCGGGCUCAACCUGGGAACUGCAUCCAAAACUGGCAAGCUAGAGUACGGUAGAGGGUGGUGGAAUUUCCUGUGUAGCGGUGAAAUGCGUAGAUAUAGGAAGGAACACCAGUGGCGAAGGCG